rnacentral:rRNA from 1 species
GGCGCACCCAGAACCCUUUGUGAACUUAUACCUUACUGUUGCCUCGGCGCUAGCUGGUCCUUCGGGGCCCCUCACCCCCGGGUGUUGAGACAGCCCGCCGGCGGCCAACCCAACUCUUGUUUUUACACUGAAACUCUGAGAAUAAAACAUAAAUGAAUCAAAACUUUCAACAACGGAUCUCUUGGUUCUGGCAUCGAUGAAGAACGCAGCGAAAUGCGAUAAGUAAUGUGAAUUGCAGAAUUCAGUGAAUCAUCGAAUCUUUGAACGCACAUUGCGCCCUCUGGUAUUCCGGAGGGCAUGCCUGUUCGAGCGUCAUUUCAACCCUCAAGCCUGGCUUGGUGAUGGGGCACUGCUUCUUACCCAAGGAGCAGGCCCUGAAAUUCAGUGGCGAGCUCGCCAGGACCCCGAGCGCAGUAGUUAAACCCUCGCUCUGGAAGGCCCUGGCGGUGCCCUGCCGUUAAACCCCCAACUUCUGAAAAUUUGACCUCGGAUCAGGUAGGAAUACCCGCUGAACUUAA